rnacentral:lncRNA from 1 species
AAAAAAUUAUAAUCCAACAUAAGUUCUCCAAAUUAAGAUGAUGAGUGCUAGUACUACUGCUCUAUUUUUUGCAUCUCUUGCAUUUAUUGCCAUUGCAACCAAAGCAAGAACCUUUUCUUCAGGUAACAAAACCUUUACUUUAAAAUCAUUUAUUAAUGCUUGAAUAUUUUUUAUAAUGUUGCUCAUGAAUUAAUUCACUGAUCAUGGUCAGAAAACUAAUUAAAAGUUACGUAACUUCCAAAAGAUUGUGAGAUUGAUUUCAAGCAUUAAUUGAUAAUCGUUAAAUUCUAUAUUUUGGCUUUAAUUCAUUAGUAUAAGACCAAAUUUUAGUUCCAUGAUCAAAUUGUACCCUGCAUGCUUCUAUUUUUUCUCACGCAAUUCAUAUUCAAGCCAAAUAUUAAUAUAUCAUAUAGAAGCUAGUGUUAUUGAUACUCAAAAGUCAGUUAGCUCUAAGAUGAGGGUUGGCUCAAGAUUUAACUCCCAGUCCAAAGUAAUUAUCCUCAACAGAGGUGGGAUAUUUUGAAAUAAAAAUGAGUGAUGUGCAGUAAAAAUAAUUUUUAAAUUAUAAUUAAUUUUUGAUAAAAUAUUAAUGAUGUUAUACAUUUUUCAUCAUUUAAGUGGUAAAUCAAAUAAACUUAUCUUCCUAAUCAUAACAAGUAGUAUUUAAUAAACACUUUAGUACUAAAAUAUUUAAGUUACAGUAACCCAACAUCAAUAUAAAAAAGGGCCUAAGUUGUAGGCUAACUAAGUUUUAACUCUUUGUUUUAAGUAACUAUCCUUGACUGAUGGAAGAUAUAGGUUAAUCACAGUUGUUAAUGGGUAAUAGUCUCCCAUUUUUUCUGAUGUGGUACAGAUGAGAGAUGGCAUAACAAAAUUUCCAUUUUCCUCGAAUAUGGAAGGGCUUUAGGCACACCACCUCCAUCGCCAAAAUCAGAACCACCAAGCAAACAAAUCACAAAUAAUUUUGGCAAGGAUGUGUUCACGACCACCAAUUAUGAACGCGCCAGAGUGUCACCUCCGCCGUCACCAAA